rnacentral:rRNA from 1 species
UACGGAGGGGGCUAGCGUUGUUCGGAAUCACUGGGCGUAAAGCGCACGCAGGCGGAUCGUUAAGUCAGGGGUGAAAUCCCGAGGCUCAACCUCGGAACUGCCUUUGAUACUGGCGAUCUUUGAGUCCGGGAGAGGUGAGUGGAACUCCGAGUGUAGAGGUGAAAUUCGUAGAUAUUCGGAAGAACACCAGUGGCGAAGGCGGCUCACUGGCCCGGUACUGACGCUCAGGUGCGAAAGCGUGGGGAGCAAACAGG